UACGUAGGGUGCAAGCGUUGUCCGGAAUUAUUGGGCGUAAAGAGCUCGUAGGCGGUCUGUCGCGUCUGCUGUGAAAACCUGGGGCUUAACCCCGGGCCUGCAGUGGGUACGGGCAGACUAGAGUGCGGUAGGGGAGACUGGAAUUCCUGGUGUAGCGGUGAAAUGUGCAGAUAUCAGGAGGAACACCGGUGGCGAAGGCGGGUCUCUGGGCCGUAACUGACGCUGAGGAGCGAAAGCGUGGGGAGCGAACAGG
rnacentral:rRNA from 1 species